GAGAAAAAGUUGUUUUGCACACUGGUGACCCCGCAGGGCACACCAUCGCCACAUGCCCACGUCGCACCGAUAAGGGUCGGGGCAGCCCGAACAGGUACAGCGCCCACUCAAGUCCCACCGCCCCUGCGUCCCCGGGAAGCCCCCGGCCUCCCCGAGUCCCGCGCCCCGGACACUUCCGCAGAGUUGCAGUGCCGCAGGUCCCGGAGGGAUCGCGGGGUGGCCCGGCCGCCUGCCCGCUCCCUCCCGCUUCCCCGCCGCACUCACCUCCUCCGCGGCGGCGGGGCCUGGGCUCCCGGGCGGCGGGGGCGGCGGCGGCGGCGGCGGCUGAGCGGCUCCGGGUCGGGCCGGCCAGCGCUAGCGGCCCCCCGGGGCCAUGGCCCUGCCCGCGCCCUCUCGCCUCUGUGCCUGAGCCGGGGUCGACGCCGCGGCCCGGCUUUAACGGGUUCCCCGGGCUUCGGGCGCGUCAGCAGCCGAGGCCCCGGGCCCCAGCCCGGGCCAUGGGAAGGCUCAGGGGCGCUCGGGGCCGCCUCCCCCCGGGUGGGCUGCGGGCGCCCCCUGGCCGGCGCGCCGAGGGCGCAUUCCCCGGCGCGGGGCGCGGGCGACGGCGCGCGCUCGGCUCCGGGGCGCUGCGCUUGGCUCGGCCCGGCGGUGCUCGCCUGCUGGCUGGCCUGGGGCCGGGCGGCCGCGCUGGGCUGCGCCGCUGCUCGCGGCGCGCCCUGGCCCUGCGCUGCGCUCGGGGCUGGCCUGACCGCGGCCGUUCGCUCGCUAGCUCGCUCUGGUCUCGCGGCCGCCGGCGGGACGGGGCGCUCGGAGCCGCGCGGGGAGCGCCGGCAAUUGGCCGCCCGUGGGCGACAUUUGCAUAGCGCGGCCCCGCCCCGCCCGCCCCGCCCGGCCCCACCCCCGGGGCGGGACCCGCCCGGCCGCCGCCCCGCCCCCCGCUCCACCUGUCCGCGAGCCGGGCUCGGGGCUCCCGGGCGGUGGGGCAACCCGAGCCAGGGGAGACCAAUCUGCACCCCGCGCCCCCGCCCCGGCUUCGCGGGCGGCGCCCCCGCCCCGCCCUGGCUUUGUCUCUCCGUGGAUACACCGCGCGCACCGCGCCUGGUGUUUACCCGGGCACUCAACUCCCUGGCGGGAAGGGCGGGCGCGCCGGGGAGCACCGAGCCUGCGCUCACCUGCGCACACACUGCCGUGUCACUCCUUCCCACUUGCUGCGGGCCGCGCCGGGCCCCGCGCCUGAGUCCCGCAGUAUAG
rnacentral:lncRNA from 1 species